rnacentral:rRNA from 1 species
GCGUCGAGCGGCGGACGGGUGAGUAAUGCAUAGGAAUCUGCCCGAUAGUGGGGGAUAACCUGGGGAAACUCAGGCUAAUACCGCAUACGUCCUACGGGAGAAAGCAGGGGAUCUUCGGACCUUGCGCUAUCGGAUGAGCCUAUGUCGGAUUAGCUAGUUGGUGAGGUAACGGCUCACCAAGGCGACGAUCCGUAGCUGGUCUGAGAGGAUGAUCAGCCACACUGGGACUGAGACACGGCCCAGACUCCUACGGGAGGCAGCAGUGGGGAAUAUUGGACAAUGGGGGAAACCCUGAUCCAGCCAUGCCGCGUGUGUGAAGAAGGCCUUCGGGUUGUAAAGCACUUUCAGCGAGGAAGAAAGCCUGGGGGCUAAUACCCCUCAGGAAGGACAUCACUCGCAGAAGAAGCACCGGCUAACUCCGUGCCAGCAGCCGCGGUAAUACGGAGGGUGCGAGCGUUAAUCGGAAUUACUGGGCGUAAAGCGCGCGUAGGUGGCUUGAUAAGCCGGUUGUGAAAGCCCCGGGCUCAACCUGGGAACGGCAUCCGGAACUGUCAGGCUAGAGUGCAGGAGAGGAAGGUAGAAUUCCCGGUGUAGCGGUGAAAUGCGUAGAGAUCGGGAGGAAUACCAGUGGCGAAGGCGGCCUUCUGGACUGACACUGACACUGAGGUGCGAAAGCGUGGGUAGCAAACAGGAUUAGAUACCCUGGUAGUCCACGCCGUAAACGAUGUCGACUAGCCGUUGGGGUCCUUGAGACCUUUGUGGCGCAGUUAACGCGAUAAGUCGACCGCCUGGGGAGUACGGCCGCAAGGUUAAAACUCAAAUGAAUUGACGGGGGCCCGCACAAGCGGUGGAGCAUGUGGUUUAAUUCGAUGCAACGCGAAGAACCUUACCUACCCUUGACAUCGUGCGAACUUUCCAGAGAUGGAUUGGUGCCUUCGGGAACGCACAGACAGGUGCUGCAUGGCUGUCGUCAGCUCGUGUUGUGAAAUGUUGGGUUAAGUCCCGUAACGAGCGCAACCCUUGUCCCUAUUUGCCAGCGAUUCGGUCGGGAACUCUAGGGAGACUGCCGGUGACAAACCGGAGGAAGGUGGGGAGGACGUCAAGUCAUCAUGGCCCUUACGGGUAGGGCUACACACGUGCUACAAUGGUCGGUACAAAGGGUUGCAAUGCCGCGAGGUGGAGCUAAUCCCAUAAAGCCGGUCUCAGUCCGGAUCGGAGUCUGCAACUCGACUCCGUGAAGUCGGAAUCGCUAGUAAUCGU